rnacentral:rRNA from 1 species
AUUGAACGCUGGCGGCAUGCCUUACACAUGCAAGUCGAACGGUAACGCGCCUUCGGGUGCCGACGCGUGGCGAACGGGCGAGUAAUACAUCCGAACGUGCCCGAUCGUGGGGGAUAACGAGGCGAAAGCUUUCCUAAUACCGCAUACGAUCUACGGAUGAAAGCCGGGGACCGCAAGGCCUUGCGCCGCCGGAGCGGCCGAUGGCAGAUUAGGUAGAGGUUGGGGUAAAAGCUUUCCAAGCCGACGAUCUUUACCUGGUCUCAGAGGAUGAUGGGCCACACGAGGAGUGAACCACGGUCAGGAGUCCUACGAGAGGGAGCAGAGGGGAAUUUUGGACAAUGGGCGCGAGCCUGAUCCAGCGGUGCCGCGUGCAGGAUGGCGGCCUUCGGGUCGUAAACUGGUUUUGUAGGGAACGAAAAGCCUUCUUCUAAGACGGGGGGGUCAUGACGGUACCGGAAGAAUAAGCACCGGCUAACUACGUG